rnacentral:rRNA from 1 species
UACGUAGGGUGCAAGCGUUGUUCGGAAUUAUUGGGCGUAAAGGGCGCGUAGGCGGUGCGGUAAGUCCGCAGUGAAAUCUCUGGGCUCAACUCAGAGUCUGCUGUGGAAACUGCCGUGCUUGAGUGUGGGAGAGGUGAGUGGAAUUCCCGGUGUAGCGGUGAAAUGCGUAGAGAUCGGGAGGAACACCUGUGGCGAAAAGCGGCUC